rnacentral:rRNA from 1 species
CGACCUGGCGGGUGCUAUAAUGCAGUCGAGCGAACAGAUAAGGAGCUUGCUCCUUUGACGUUAGCGGCGGACGGGUGAGUAACACGUGGAUAACCUACCUAUAAGACUGGGAUAACUUCGGGAAACCGGAGCUAAUACCGGAUAACAUAUUGAACCGCAUGGUUCAAUAGUGAAAGGCGGCUUUGCUGUCACUUAUAGAUGGAUCCGCGCCGUAUUAGCUAGUUGGUAAGGUAACGGCUUACCAAGGCAACGAUACGUAGCCGACCUGAGAGGGUGAUCGGCCACACUGGAACUGAGACACGGUCCAGACUCCUACGGGAGGCAGCAGUAGGGAAUCUUCCGCAAUGGGCGAAAGCCUGACGGAGCAACGCCGCGUGAGUGAUGAAGGUCUUCGGAUCGUAAAACUCUGUUAUCAGGGAAGAACAAAUGUGUAAGUAACUGUGCACAUCUUGACGGUACCUGAUCAGAAAGCCACGGCUAACUACGUGCCAGCAGCCGCGGUAAUACGUAGGUGGCAAGCGUUAUCCGGAAUUAUUGGGCGUAAAGCGCGCGUAGGCGGUUUUUUAAGUCUGAUGUGAAAGCCCACGGCUCAACCGUGGAGGGUCAUUGGAAACUGGAAAACUUGAGUGCAGAAGAGGAAAGUGGAAUUCCAUGUGUAGCGGUGAAAUGCGCAGAGAUAUGGAGGAACACCAGUGGCGAAGGCGACUUUCUGGUCUGUAACUGACGCUGAUGUGCGAAAGCGUGGGGAUCAAACAGGAUUAGAUACCCUGGUAGUCCACGCCGUAAACGAUGAGUGCUAAGUGUUAAGGGGGUUUCCGCCCCUUAGUGCUGCAGCUAACGCAUUAAGCACUCCGCCUGGGGAGUACGACCGCAAGGUUGAAACUCAAAGGAAUUGACGGGGACCCGCACAAGCGGUGGAGCAUGUGGUUAAUUCGAAGCAACGCGAAGA